AAAAACGCAUAGAAGAAGAUCAAGUUAAGCGACGAUCUUGUAGGCUUUCAACUUGUCAAUCCAUGAAAUGAAUGAAUUCUUAGAAUUCCGGAAUCCCAGAAAACCGUGCUCCUUGCUCUUGUUCAUGGUAUCCAAUAAACAUUUCAAGCUAAGCAUAGUAUCGGCAAACCACCAAACCCCGACAUCCUCCAAUUUAGUAGGUGUUAAUCCAUUCUCCCGCACAAUUUCAUCCCAGACCUUCCCUUUAUCCUUCAUCAUCUCCAGCAGUGUCAGAUUCUUCCCCUCCUCAAACUCUUCAUAUUCCAUCCCGAAUUGCUCAGCCAAUAUCCUCCAGAAAUGUUUCCACUUGAAAACAUCCCCAUUGCUGAUAUUGAACGCUUCAUUCCUAGCAUAGGGAUCCACUGCCGCCCAUAUCUGAUGUUCAGCAAUCAAAUCUGCAUCAGAACAAUCGGAAUAUCCAUCCCACACAACCUUACUUCCUGGAAACCUCAAUGGCAUACCCUCGUGCUUACAUAUGGAGGCAUAAACACAUAGGGUAGCAACUAAGUUCAUCAUACUAAAUGGAGAGAAUCCAAAUAUUAUCCCUGGCCUAUGAAUCGACCACGUCAAUCCCUCCUUCUUUUCCACCUCCUCGAACAGGAUAUCCUCAAGAGUAUAGUAAAAAUUCGGGCAAUCCAAACGUGGCAAAUCCUCGUGGAAAGGAGGAUCGUGAGGUCUUAUCUUUCCAAAGGAUUCAAAUGAACCAAUGUAAUGCUUCCUUCCUGUUUGCAAACAAAUAUGCUUCAAAUUAGGACAAUUGGUGAUAACUGCAUCAAGCACAUUCUUUAACAUUUUGCCAUUGGCUUUGCAAUUCUCAGCCUCCGUGGAUCUAUUGGUCCAUGUGACAUAGAAGAUGUGUGUGACAUCCGUUAGCGGUGACAGCUUUGCUUGAGCAUCCUCAUGAUCUGAGAUGUCGCAUCGGAUGUAUUGAAUUGGAUUGUCAUCAUUCCAAGACGGCUGGGGACGGCGGGCAACGCCGUAGACCUUCCAGGGGCCGCCGGGGGUAUCGGCGAGCGGGAGGAUUUCCGCCAGACUGUUGCCCACGAUGCCGGUGACACCGAUUACUAGAGCCACGCUAUGAUGUUUGAUCGUUGCCUCAUCUUCUUCGAAUUUUUUCUGUUUCAAGAUCAAAUCAUACAAGGGUUUUAACCGCUAGAAACUACUCAUAUCCACACACACAUAAAUAGACGCACAUACAAUCCGUAUACAGAUGCUGAAUAUAUCUGAUAUGAAUAAACUUACCUUUGCAGCGCCAAUAGCUCCGGCCCACCACCAACUCAUUUUUAGCAACAGCGGUUGCGAAUUCUGUGUUUGUGAGAGAGAGCGCGAGAGAGAGUAGUCUCUGUUUCUUUGGAGUGUGAUAAACCACAAAAUGAGAGAGAGAGAGGCUUCUACUAGUCUCUGUCAAAAUGAUUAGCCCUUGUUUGAUCCAAUCAUUUGGUCAAGAAUGCAUUUUAAAAUAGUAGAUUUAAAAUAAUAAAUAGAUGAAAAAUGUAUUAUUAAAAAAUAAGAAAAAAAUUAAAUUUAUAUGUAAUAUUAUUUUAUUGAAUAACAUGUGAUUGAGAAAAAGAGAGAAUAUAUUUUGAAAACAACUUAUAUCAAACAAGGUCUAGAUAGGGUCAAGACUGUAUAUGCCGAUUUUUUUGUUGUUGUCUGUUUGGAGAAUUAAUCCUUAUUGGCCUCUUGAAUUAUUGGUAUUCGUAAAUAAAUAAUAUUUUAUUACAUUAUAUGUGCAUAAAAAUUUAUAAAUUUAUUUAUCAACGUAUUAUAUGAUGAGAUAUGAUUGAGUGAAAAUUUCGUUAACGGAAAAAUGUUCUUCCACCUUUUUUGUCAUUAACCCACGUUACAUAAGUAUGCUGUUUAAGUGGUGAAGAAAUUUUUUGAUAAUUUUAAUUUAACUUAUAAGUGCUUGUAAAUAAAUAAUUUUUUAUUACACUAUAUGUGCAUCAAAAUUUAUAAAUUUAUUUAUCAAUAUAUUAUAUAAUGAGAUUUGAUUGAGCGAAAAUUUCGCCAAUGGAAAAAGUUCUUCCACCUUUUUUUUUAUCAUUAACCCACAUUACGUAAGCACAUCAUUCAAGUGGUGAAGAAUUUUUUUGAUAAUUUUAAUUUAAUUUAUUGUCACCUCUUCAAUCUAUAAAGGAUGAAGUAUAAAAAAUAUUUUUCAAUAAUUUUUAAUCUGAUGUAACUUUUUUAGAAGUAAGAGAACAUUCAAUAUAAGUAAGGAGAAUAUGAUAAGCUACCCGUCAUAUGUUUUUGGAUAAUAAAUUAAAAUAAUAUUUUUUUGAUGGAAAUAUGGUUAAAAAUUAGAGAAAUGUUAUGAAUUUAUGUACCAAACAUGGGCUACAUAAGCUUUUCAGCGUGUCAAAUGUUACGAGCAUGGAUAGAAUGUCGUGCGAAGCAACUUCUUUAAGAAAUGUUUUGAGAAGCUUGUAUUUUAUUUUAUUUUUCGCAUCAAUGAUCUAAUAAAUUGUCAUUUCUAUCGCUUCAAAUUGGAUUUGAUCUAUUGAACAUGUAGUUAAAAAAGGUGUCACGUAUGAACAUGUAAAAAAGACAAAUAAGAUCCUAAUUUAUUUAUUCAUUUUUAAAUAAGAAGUUAAUAAGAAUUCGUUCCACAUUAUUACAAAAUAAUUUUAAAUGAAAUAAUUAGAUAGAGGUGAACGUGCAACCAAUCUAUGAACUUGAUAAAAUUGCUUACCAACAAGCUACAUAUUUAACCGUUUGUGUCGUUAGUUUCAUGAAAAAAUUUCCCUUGAUUGGCAAAACAAAGAAAAUAAGAGAAAUUUUCAGUUUUAUAUUUUUGGAACUUAAGCGUGUCAUGUAUCUUCCGUCACUUGUGAAUAGUCACUUGUGAAUAAUGAUCACUCCUCUAAUACUACGAUAGAUAUAGGGAUGUCAACGAGUCGAAAGUUUCGGCUCGAGCUCGACUCGAUUAAAAUUGUCGAGCUUUUUUUGGGGCCCGAGGCGAACAAAAGCUCGCCCAAAAAUUUUAGGCACGACUAGGCCUUUUUCUAUCUUUCUCUCUCUCUUUUUUUUAAAUAUAUAUAUAAUUUAAGCUACUGCCUUUUUUAAGGCAGUUUUUGCUAAAAACUUGCGAGCUCACGGGCCGGCUCGGGCAAAGCCCGUGUCCCCAACAUGGAGCUCGGCCCGAGCUUAGGCUCGGGUCUACCAAGCCUCGAGCCGAGCCGGCUCGGGCUUUUCGCGGGUCGAGCGACGGGCGGCCCGAGUCAACGAGCCCAAUUGACAUCCCUAAAUAGAUAUGAUUAUAAUUCAAAUUUCAACAUAAUAUAAAUGAUAUAAGGGUUUUUGUUAGCCCGAAUAUCAGCGAGAGUUAAAUUAAAUUAAUGAGACUUGAUCUUACAAUCUUAUGAUAUAAACUAUUUUUAGUAUUAAAAUUAAGCAAUUUUCUCAUUAGAUCUUAGAAAUUGUAAUGUGUGUAAUGUGACUUGAGCCUGUUGACCAGUAUUAGGUUUGACGGUCUAUCCUUUUUUUUUUUUUUUUUUGGUCGGUUUUCGAGAUGUACAAGUAUAAAUGAGAAGGCUUUCGAGUUUAUUAAUGAUCUCAACUGUGUCUUGUACGAUAAGCUUUCCUUCGGGCCUCAAAAUCCGAUCAGCCUCCGUAACCAGGGCCAUGAAAUUACACCUGAGACCCGGAAUUCAAAAUAACUAGAAGAAAGCAUAUAAACUUAAGCAUCAAAUCUAGUUAAUUGAGUCUUAUGUACACACUUGUUUUUAAUCUUUGAAAAGAGAUGGUCUGCAUACGAUUCACAACAGUCAUGAUAAAUUCCAAAUAGACCUCGUUCAUAAAUAAUCGGUAGAGUAUCAGGAGCAUCUAUGGAGACAACGUUCAUAACCCACAACUUCAUAUCUUUAAGAGCAGCAGCAAAUCCGCAGAGGGAUCACCAUCACUUAGUACAAGCCGAAUGGCAACCAAACAUGCUAUUUAAUUACAGAAAUAAUGGUAUAAAUGUAACACUCCAAAUUUUAAAUUUUUAAUUUCAUGUAGGCUAAAUUUAAUGUUGAUAAUUUAGCAAAUAAAAUAAUCCAUGUCCAACAUUUUCGUAACACUAAAGACCAAACGUUGAAGUGAUAAACAUGUCUCACUUAUUUGCAUAAAUGGUUUAUUUUGCAUACGUAUAUUUUUGAAAUUAUCGUAAGUUAUUUGGGUCGAAUAUUUAAAUAUUUCAAAAGUUGAUAAAAUACAUCGAUAUUAUACUCAUUUUGUAGCUCGUGCCAAAUAACAUAAAUUGGCUCAAGAAGAAAUAAUUUUGAGCUAGCCAUAAUCGAAUUAUCUUGAUAGAAAGAAAAUUAUUCUAAUCCUAUAUUUUAUUAAUAAAAGAUAUAUAAUGACAGAUAUAUGUUAAAAUAGUAAAAUUUUAAAUGGUAAAAUGAAGAUGGGAUGUUUUUGGAAUUGAAAACAUAGAUAUCAACCACUUUUAAUUAAUAUUAAAAUUGAUCAUUUCAACUCCCAUCAAUGAAUAAUAAUUUACACACUCACCAUGAUUGAUUAAUGUAAAGAAUAGGCUAUUGAAUUCACACCUAUAUAUAUAUAUAUAUUGAGAGGUGUUUUUUCCCCUUACAUUAGAGAUGGAAAUCGAACUCAUCGACUCGGGCGGCCCGUUGCUCGGCUUGGAAAAAGCUCAAGCCCGCUCGGCUCGAGGCUCGGGAGAAUCGAGCCAAGACUCGGGUCGAGCCCCAUUUUGGGAUGUUGGGCAGAGCUUCCAGCUCGGUUUGGAAAGGCCUGAGUCGAAAGCUCGAGUCGAGCCUAAUUUUUUUGGUUGAGCUUUUGCUUGGCAUGACUCGGGUCCAAAAACAAGCUCAAAUCAUUUUUACCUGAGCCUAGCCCGAGCCAGCUAGGCUCGACUCGUUGACAUCUCUACCUUACAUACACACGUGAAAACACAUAUUAAAAGAGAUAUUAUUUUAUUUACAAGCCAUUUUCAGAUUUAUUUUUAAAUUUUUAUUUUUAUUUUUUUUUGAGUAGCAAAUCAAGGUAAGAAAUGUGCAAAUGAUUAAUUUUUAUUCUUGGUAUUUUUAUAGAAUUUUGGCAUGAAAUACGUUAAGGUCUUUGGGUCGAUUUUUAUGUUGAAUCCUACGGGAUUGACCGUUUAGUCAAGUAUGUAAAUCCUACGGGAUAUUUUUAUAUUAAAAGAAUAUGCACGUUUUUCUUACUGGGUAUUCUUUUUAAAAAAAUACCCACUCUUACUAUAUUUUCAAAUUAGAACGGGUCGUGUGAACGCGUGACGGAUUGAUCGAGUGAUGCUCAUGGGUCACCAAGUAAAAUUUCUAGAAAUAAUAAUUUACAAAGAAAUCUCAUUUGAAAAACACAUUUAUGUUUUUAUAAGAUUAUUUGCCAAUUUCUAUUUUAAGAAUAACUUUAUUUUAUGUUUAAUUUCGUGCAUAUUAUCUUAGUAGAUUUGAUAUUUAAGUUAUUUAACAUGUUCAAUUGACAGUUUAGUUCGUAAUAUUUUAAGUUAGAUAAACUUCAAAUUUUUAUUUGAAUUGUUGAAUUUACCUUAUUGAUUUAAUACCAAAAUUUAUACAUUAGUGUUAAAUUCCGCUUAAAUUAUAAAAGAAAGAUUUUGGUAACACUUCAAAUAUUUUAAAAAGAAACAAAAAAUAAAAAAAUAAAUGUCUAGUGGAUUUGGGACAUUAUAGUUUGAUACAUAGCCCAGAUUUAUCUUUUUGGAGAUCGAAAAAAAAAAAUUAUAUCAUUAUGCGUAAUUUUAAAUUUUGUUAAGUGAAUUUUGGUAGCCCCAAUAUCUAGACUAUGGUUUUAUGACUGAGUGUAUUAAAAAAUAAAUAAAUAAAUAAAAUUGGUUGAGAAACAUGAUUAGUUGAAUUCUGCCAUCAAUUUAUGAAAAAGUUUAAUUACUUCAUCUUCCCAUGAUUCUUAUAUAAUUAAUGUUCUAAAAUCUUACUAUCGUUAAAUGUCCAUGGGCUUUGAGUUUUUAAGCAAACACGUGUAAAUGAAUAGAGCAUCCUAUAAGUUGUUUGUUCAUUUUAUUUCUUUUAUGGUCCAGUCAUUGUACCUUUAAUGCAAGCUAGCUGUAUUAAAAAAAAAAAAAAAAAAAUGAUUAAGCACUAUGGUUUAUUUAAGUUUUUAUUGAUUUCUUGCCAUUACGGUCACUGUACAUUGUGAAUCGUUAAAAUGGUAAAAGUCUUUUCCAAAAUAUUUAAUUGUACAAUAUUAGUUUCUGUUCUAGUGAAUGUAGAUAAGUGAAAAAAAAAAAAAGUUGUUCACAUGUUUAAUUUUAAGUUCUAUAUGUGAUGUGAUUUUAACUGAAACUUAAUCAAGUAUUAAAAUAAGACCCAUGACAUUUAGUGCUUGUCAAUCAGCUACCAUCUGAUGAACCAAAGGUAUAAACGAAAUGUUAUGUUUAAGCUUACCUUCAAGCAUGAUUUAUGAAGUAUUUAAACUUGAUUUCAAGAAAUGCUUAUAAUGUUUAGAAUGAAAUAUGUUAUGCAUGCUAUUAUUUUAUUAUACAUGAAGGUAUAUGAAUUAACAAUCCUAUUAAAGCCAUGAGAGCGUAACAUAUACGUCGAUGUUACUGCAAAAAUAAAUAUGAUUGGACCCUUAUGUGACAGACAUGAUUAGAACUUAUGAGACCGCUAGAAAGGCCACAGCUUAUAGAGCAGUAUUAAACCGUAGGUCCAUCAUUCAAUCUUAUGAGAAUUAUGUGACUGACCCAACCACUUGUCGAACACGUGCAAGACAUCUAUGAAAGAUGUAUGGCAGCUAUGGAGGCAGGACUGGAGAUCACGCAUACUGAGACUGUGAAUAAUCUCAUACACUCAUUUCCAUCUCAAUGGGGAGACAUGGUAGUUGUGGUUAAGGAUGAGAUGUUAGAAGGUAACCCCCCAGAGCAUCCAAACGUGAUUGAGUUUGGUAUAUAUUGUCAGACCCUUCUAGACAGGCGGAGUAAAAACUUAGAACCCCAAUUGGAGAUAAGGAAUGAGCUUGGUGAUGAGGUUGAGCCCGAGCCAGAACCUCAAAUAAAAUCAGACCCAGAGGAAGAUCCUGAAUGGGAGCAACGAUCAUGAGCAUGAACUUGAGCCACUGGUUGAGAUUGACGUAGAGUCUGGGCCUAAGGUAGAAGACUCAUCUGAAGAUGAAGCUCCAUUAAAAAAGAUUCACAGAAUUCAUAGGGAAUAGAAACUUAGAUUCCAUUUUCUUAGUACUGUGAUAUCUUUACCUUUAUGCUAUUGGAAAUAAAUAUAAAAAAUAAAAUUGUCAAACUAUUAUAUAUCAUGAUUUCAAGGAAUACUAUUAAUAAAAAAAAAUUAAUUUCCUUUAAACAUAUUGAGUUACUAUGUUGUCCAACAUUUUUAAGAGAAAAUUUAAUUUGUUAAAGGAAAUGGUGGGACAACAAGACCAAGCAGUUAUGUUUAGGGAUCUGAUAAGGGCAGUGCAUGACCUUGGUAGGAACCAAGCACCCGCACCAGCUCCUCAGAAUAGACCAACAAAUGCUAACAACAUAAGUUCAAUUGUGGAGCAGUUUCACCGUUUUAAACCUCCUUCUUUUGAUGGUAAGGUAAACUCUUUGGCAGCCGAGGAGUGGUUACGAGGGCUAGAGUGAAUCUACAAAUACAUGGCAUGCACUGAUGUACAGAAGGUAUCAUGUGCCGAUUUUAUGUUGAUCGAAGUAGCAGGCCACUGGUGGGAGUUUGCUUCGCGCACUAGAACAAAAGCACAGCAAUGUGCUAUGACUUGGGCAUAGUUCAAGAAAAGAAAUAAUGACAAAAUACUUUCCCCAAUCACCUAGGGAUUGGAGAGAAGCAGAGUUCCUACAGCUGAAACAAGGAAAUAUGUCGCUUGAUGAGUAUGAAAGGAAAUUUGAACAACUUUCUAGGUAUGCUACACACCUUGUUGAUAUCGAGCCAAAGAAGGUUAGGAGGUUUGAAUUAGGCUUGUGUCCAGAGAUUGGAGGAAUCAUGGCAUCUCACCAUAUGACUACCUAUAGUGAAGUGCUUCGGCGAGUGCAGUCAAUUUCUGAUCAUCUAGAAAUGGAUUGGAUGACUGAGAAGAAUAAUGAAUCAUAUGGAAAAUGAAAGUAGAAUGGAUCAAAUAAAGGGAAAGGAUUUGGAUAGUUUAAGAAGUCCAAUACAGGAUUAGGAUCAGGAUCAAGUAAACUAAAUAAAGUUACUUUACGAUGCCCAAAUUGCAACAAGGCUUAUGGAGGAGAGUGCUUGUUUGGGAAAAAUGUGUGCUAUCAUUGUGGCUAGGAAGGCCAUUUUGCUCCGGACUGCAAGGCAUACCCACCUAAGGAGGAUAACGAACAAGGCAAGAAAGUGAAAGUCGAAGUUUUUGCUUUCACCCAGGAAGAGGUAGCAGAGGAUCCGAAUGUAAUGACAGGUAUUCUAUCAAUAUCUGAACUACCUGCAUAUGUUCUUAUAGACUCCGGAGCUACUCAUUCAUUUAUCUUCACCGCAUUUAUUGUUAAAUCAUGUACUGCAUGUGAAAAAUCUAAUAGUGUUCUAGAAAUUUUCAUUCUAUCCGGUAGAAUUUUGAAUACCAAUCAGAUCGCUAGGCCAGUCAAAUUAGUAAUGGAAGGAAAAGAAUUUAUAACUGAUCUAUACCUCCUAGACAUGAAAGACUUUGACGUUGUUCUAGGAAUGAACUGAUUGGGAAGCAAUCACGCAACCAUUUGAUGUUUCGAAAAGGAAGUAGAUUUUCAGAGGCCUGGGGAGGAUAAGUUUCGAUUUUUUGCUGUACGAGUUAAGCCUUUACCUUGACUCGUAUCGGUUAUGAAGGCAGAAAAGAUCUUACCAAUAAUUUCUAGUGAGUAUCCAUGGAUAUUAGCAAUCAGAGCUUACUAUUGGUAAUGUGUAACACCCCAAAUUAAAUAAACAUAACGUCACGUAAACAUAGAACAUUAAACUAAAUUAAACGAAACACAUAAUAUCAUUGGUUUGAAAGGGAUUCGAACACUGGACCUUCAAUUUGUAUGUGAAAGCUCUAACCAAAUGAGUUACAAUAGAUGCUUUCACUUUUCACCAAAUAAUAAAAUCUUUUCAACAUGGCACUGUGCAAAAAUAAAGUUACUUAUUUCAAUCGGUUAUGUUACUUCAUUCACGUAUAUUUGUUUUCUGAUGGGCUAUAUCAUCUCUGCACAUCUAGGAUCACAUGCUCUGCCUCUCUUCCCAUUUUCUCAUGAAGCUUUCUGCCCAUGAGAUGUCCUUGAAGAUCUCGUAAGGCAAAGUGUUGUGAUUCUGGUGAAAUUUUAGUCAUUUGUCUCCGUUUUUGUCCAUAUGGCUAUAAAUUUUCAUGAUGCUCAUACAACUUUUAGGAUCUAGUUUGUUUAGAUUUAGAGGCAAGCAUGGUGUCGGUAGAAUGGAGUGUGUAUCUGUUAUUUAAUUGUUUCUUUGUGAUCAUCUCUUUUUGUUUAUCUAUUUCCAGUCAAAAUCUCAUUUAAGAUGCUAAAUUGUAAGUUUAUAAUUUCCAGGUAUCAAGAUCUAUUGGCGAUGUCUAUCUGAAAAAACCCGACUUCAACAGAGACCCCCUUUUCUUACAAUUCGGAAAUCCUGUUCCUUUGAAGAGACCACUAUUAACAGCUGAACCCUCAAUUGUAACUCGGAAGCUCAGGCCACAAGAUUUGUUCUUAAUCUUUGCCUCAGAUGGCCUCUGGGAACAUCUCAGUGAUGAAGCUGCUGUGGAUAUUGUAUAUAAUGUAAGUGUUAUGCCCUAGAUCCAAUCGAUUUAGGUUGUAAACGCGUAAUAACGAGAUAUGGAUAUCGUUAAUACAGUUAGACCAUCAUGUGUGGCAUUUCUUACUUGUGAAGUAAGUAGCUGAUCUCACGAGUUAAAGUGUGGUGACACUUAAAUGAAGACGUGGAUGUUUUGUUAUAGAACAAAACAUUGGAGACCCGCUAAGAGAUUCCACAUGGAUAACUAUCUGAGUGUCAGUGGCUAAUCUCUAACGUUCGGUAGUGGAAUUGGUCCUUUGACUUGAGGUCGUCCUGAUACCUUAUAUGAGGACAGUCAUACUUUGGCGGUGUUGGAUGUUGCUCUGAAAGGGGCCGCUAAUACGACAUCGUUCGGGUACGUCAAGAAUCGUAUGAAGGUUGUGAUUGAUCAAUAAAGGAUUCGUCACUCUUAGAUAGUAGGAAAUUAUGAUCUGCAUUUCAUUCAAUUAAGUCGAUGAUGAAAUCCUUGGCCAAGGUGUACUCAUAAGUCGAAAAGGAGUUUUCGAUUUAUAUUGACUUAAUAGUGGAGUGAAAGAUAUGAUCAAUGAUCGAGAUUGACACAAUUUCAUAUCUCGUAAUUGAUCGGAUCGUAUUGACGAAAGGAUAAUAGUUCCACAGUAAACGAACGAAUUUGGUUUUGUCAUACCACGUGACAUUUCCGGUCACAUGUAUUGCCCUGACACAUUGCUAGAUGUCAAUCAAGGACGGCGAAUGUGAAUUGACGAUAAAUUAAAAGGGUGUAUUAAUUUAUCAAUUUUGAUUAGAUCAAAAUAAUAUUUCACGACGUCAGACAUUGUGGUCGGGAACCUAAUGGGUCGCACACAAAAGAGAAUUUGAAGACUGCAAAUUGUCAAUUGAUUAAUUUAACAAUCGUUGAAUAAAUUAAUUAAUUGAAUUUGUUAUUUAUAAUCCCGAAUCAAUUAAUUGGAUUAAUUAAUUCACGGAUCGGGUUUAAUUAAUUGAAUUAAUUAAAUAUUGGACCAGACCGGGCCGGGUCCGUUUGGGUUUAUAUAUAUAUGCAGCUAGGGUUUGAGGUCCAAUAAUGUUUUCAUUAUUCUUGCUGGCACAAGAAAGAAACCCUAGCAGUUGCUGUCUACUCUCUGUGUGGAUUACAUUGGAGGCUGGACAAUUGGACAGCUGUGGGAGGCAGAUUCAAGCUGCUGGAAAGGAAUAAUGCGAAAGAGUUUGCAAAUUACAAGUAAAGGUAUAUUUCUUAUCACAAUUUUUAUCUAAAUACAAAGCUAAAUCCUGAAUGGGAAUUGAAACUUGUUAAAUUCCGCUGUGCAUGUUUAAGUAAAUUCCCAACAGUGGUAUCAGAGCCGACUUUGUAUUUGUUAAGAACUGUUUAACGUGUUGAUUAAAUUAAAUGUUAGUUUAAUCACGUUCAUUCCUAAAUCUAGCAAAUAUAGUUUUAAAUUUUUUUUGUCUUUUUGGAUCUGUUCUUGAANNNNNNNNNNNNNNNNNNNNNNNNNNNNNNNNNNNNNNNNNNNNNNNNNNNNNNNNNNNNNNCUGCCACCAGCAGCGCCUCGCGCUGCUGGUGUUUUCUCAUGGGCGGCGCCGCCCCAGAAAGAAGAGAAGAAAAAAAAAAAAAAUUUUUUUUUUUUUAGGGUUUUGGUGGAGGCGGGGGCCUCUGUUGCAAUUAAUGUAAUUUGGGGCCCCUGGUUGCAAUUACACAAAAGGGGUCAAUUUGCAAAUUUUAAAUCAGGGACCUAUUCUGUAAAUUUCGAUUUUAGAAGGGUCUGCUGUUAAUUUCAUUUUGGGUAACUUUUGUAAAAUUUCAAAAAGGGUUUUGAUUUUGAAUUUUGAAUUAUUUUAUAAUGAGUUUUAAAUUGGGUUUGACCCAUACCCUAAUUUUGACCCAAAAUUAAAAAAAAUAAAUUUUAUUUAAAAUUUGACGACUUUUAUAUUUUUGUUAAAAUUAGAUUUUAACUUAAAUAUUUAAUUUGACCCUUAAUUGAAUUUUUAUUAUAUUUUGGAAUUUUGUCCUAAAUUAAAAUAUUAAUUCAAUUUUAUUAGAGUUGGAUUCUAAUAUUAAAUUAAUUAAAUUUUGUUUUGAAUUAGCACCACUUCCCUAUGCAAAUUAGCACUUAGAGUAUGACUCUAAUUUAAUAAUUAAUUAAAAUUCGAUUUUGAUUAAAUUACCUCGCCCAAUAGUUAUGGAUUUAGAGUUGGACUCUAAUUCGAUAUUUAGUUAAAAUUAGAUUUUAAUUAAAUUGGACCGUCAAUUAAAUUAAUUAAUUAAUAUGAUUAAUUAAUUGUUUAAUUAUCUCGAUCCCAAAAUUUUGAUUUAAUUUUGACGACUAUAAUUGCUAGAUUCAUGAGACAUUACAUAUAAUAUUAGAUAUUAUACAUAUGAAACAUUUAUGUGAUGAAUGUUUAUGGAUGAUUAUGGACUCGACCAUAUGGAUGUGUUGAAUGGUUGAUUUACUUCUUAUUGUUGUUGUGGGCCUGCGAGCUCCUUAUUAAAUAAUUGGGACUGCGAGUCCGUUGUUAUUAUUAUUAUUGUGGGCCUGCGAGUCCCUUUUUUUUAGGCCUGCGUGCCAACUAGUAUAGGAUACAUGUUGCAAGUUCGGCUAAUUGGAGGCGCAAGAAGAGGUGGACACCAUGAAGAUGGUGUAUUGGUAUUGGUCCAAUACUGUACCCCUUAGGAAUUGACCAACUAGUUUUCCUUUUGGCUCGAGAAAACUAGAUAGAACAAGUCAAUAAUCAUCCAUACUAUAUAUAUAUAUAUAUAUUCACAUAGUAGAUGUAUGUUUAAAUAUAUGUAUGCAUAUGUAGUUACUUGAUGAGACCAUUGCACAUUAAAUCCCUCGUUAAAAAUUAUUAAGUUAGUAUUAUUUGCCUUCCAUCAUUAUAGUGAAAAACGAGAAUCCUAAAUCGACCUUAGCUUGUUGAGUACACUCAAGGCUGGUCUAUUAGGGAUAUGUUUGACACUAUGAAAUAUUUGAUAUUUCUGAAUGAUGGGUUUAACUUAACUAAAAUUUAUCUUUAGUUGAGUACACUCAAGGAGAUAAAUUUUUGAGGCAUGUUAAGCUAACACAUAAGAUGUNNNNNNNNNNNNNNNNNNNNNNNNNNNNNNNNNNNNNNNNNNNNNNAUAACAUCUACCCAAAUGUUUUAUUAGGAUUUGUUGAGUACACUCAAGAUCUCGAUACAAUGAAUGGGAUCCCAGCCCACUGUGAAUCAAGUGUGGAUUCAAAUAAUUUAUGUAUGAGGGUCAUGAAUUUAUUUUAGACAGUGGGAGCACGUUUAAUUAAAGUCCAUAUUAAAUUUAUGCACAUGCAUUAUAAUACAUAUUAAUUCUAUUUUUUUCGUCAUUUACAGUUUUUGAAUCAUGAGUAAUCAUAUGAAUUUGAGAGGCAUACUGGAUGCCAACAAAUUGACCGGACCAAAUUUUCUCAAUUGGCACCNNNNNNNNNNNNNNNNNNNNNNNNNNNNNNNNNNNNNNNNNNNNNNNNNNNNNNNNNNNNNNNNNNNNNNNNNNNNNNNNNNNNNNNNNNNNNNNNNNNNNNNNNNNNNNNNNNNNNNNNNNNNNNNNNNNNNNNNNNNNNNNNNNNNNNNNNNNNNNNNNNNNNNNNNNNNNNNNNNNNNNNNNNNNNNNNNNNNNNNNNNNNNNNNNNNNNNNNNNNNNNNNNNNNNNNNNNNNNNNNNNNNNNNNNNNNNNNNNNNNNNNNNNNNNNNNNNNNNNNNNNNNNNNNNNNNNNNNNNNNNNNNNNNNNNNNNNNNNNNNNNNNNNNNNNNNNNNNNNNNNNNNNNNNNNNNNNNNNNNNNNNNNNNNNNNNNNNNNNNNNNNNNNNNNNNNNNNNNNNNNNNNNNNNNNNNNNNNNNNNNNNNNNNNNNNNNNNNNNNNNNNNNNNNNNNNNNNNNNNNNNNNNNNNNNNNNNNNNNNNNNNNNNNNNNNNNNNNNNNNNNNNNNNNNNNNNNNNNNNNNNNNNNNNNNNNNUCAAGGAAUUCAAACUUGAAGUAGAGAAACAAACUAGUAAAAAUAUACUCACGCUAAGAUCAGAUCGAGGUGGAGAAUAUUUAAAGGGAGAAUUUUUAGAUUAUCUUAAAGAGAACGGGAUUCUCUCGCAGUGGACUCCGCCAUAUACACCGCAACAUAAUGGUGUAUCUGAACGGAGGAAUCGCACUUUGUUAGAUAUGGUGCGAUCUAUGAUGAGCCAUGCAAACAUCCCAAAAUCAUUUUGGGGUCAUGCACUANNNNNNNNNNNNNNNNNNNNNNNNNNNNNNNNNNNNNNNNNNNNNNNNNNNNNNNNNNNNNNNNNNNNNNNNNNNNNNNNNNNNNNNNNNNNNNNNNNNNNNNNNNNNNNNNNNNNNNNNNNNNNNNNNNNNNNNNNNNNNNNNNNNNNNNNNNNNNNNNNNNNNNNNNNNNNNNNNNNNNNNNNNNNNNNNNNNNNNNNNNNNNNNNNNNNNNGUGUAUUUGUGGGAUAUCCAAAGGAGACAAUUGGAUAUCAAUUCUAUAAUCCCGUUGAGAAGAAAGUGUUCAUCUCAAGGCAUGCCAUAUUCCUAGAGGAAGAGUUUAUUCUAGGAGAGGGUAGUGGGAGCAAACUAGAACUUGAGGAAGUUCAAGAAUCCACAGACACUGUUGACCAAUUAGAUGAACUUGAGUCUGAUCCUACACCUGUUGGUGGACAGACUCUUGAUCAGGAUAUAGAGAACCCUGAGGACACUCCAGCUCAGCGUAAAUCAAAAAGGAUCAUUCGACCUCCCAGAAGGUACGAAUUCACGAUUACUAAUCAAGUAUUAUUAAUCGAGGAUGAUGAACCUACAAAUUAUGCAGAAGCAAAGUCAAGUGUUGAUUCGAAGAGAUGGCAAGAUGCCAUAGAAUCCGAAAUGGACUCAAUGUAUGAUAACAAGGUUUGGACCUUGGUCGACCUUCCAGGUGGGAUAAAACCGAUAGGUUGUAAAUGGGUUUACAAGAAAAAGGUCGAUGUGGAUGGAAACGUCCACACAUACAAAGCAAGGCUAGUAGCGAAGGGUUACACACAAAGACAAGGUAUUGACUUUGAUGAAACUUUUUCGCCUGUAGCCAUGCUGAAGUCCAUUCGAAUUUUGCUUGCAAUAGCUGCAUACCAUGAUUAUGAGAUAUGGCAAAUGGAUGUCAAAACUGCUUUCCUUAAUGGAAACCUGCAAGAGGAGGUGUAUAUGACACAGUCUGAAGGUUUUGAAUCCAAAGGAGCCAACAAAUUAUGCAAGCUAAAUCGAUCCAUUUAUGGAUUAAAGCAAGCCUCUAGGAACUGGAAUCUUCGUUUUGAUGAAACAAUCAAAAGGUUUGAUUUUAUCAAAAAUGAAGAUGAACCGUGUAUUUAUAAGAAAACAAAUGGGAGCGCAGUCGUAUUCCUGAUAUUAUAUGUCGAUGACAUAUUAUUAAUGGGAAACGACAUCCCAGUACUUCAAUCAGUAAAAUUAUGGUUGUCAAAGAAUUUCUCCAUGAAAGAUAUGGGAGAAGCAGCAUAUAUCUUGAGAAUCAAGAUCUAUAGAGAUAGAUCUAAAAGAUUACUAGGCUUAUCCCAAUCUUCGUACAUAGAUAAAAUUUUGAGAAGAUUUAAUAUGGAAGAGUCCAAAAGAGGAUUAUGCCCCAUGUCACAUGGGAUUUACCUCUCAAGAGAUAUGUGUCCUAAAACACAGGAUGAAAGGAGUCGCAUGGACAAGAUUCCUUAUGCUUCGGCGAUAGGAUCUAUCAUGUAUGCGAUGCUAUGUACGAGACAAGAUGUUUCAUAUGCUCUAAGUGUUACGAGUAGGUUUCAAGCAAACCCUGGUGAGAAACACUGGAUAGCGGUUAAGAACAUUCUUAAGUACUUAAGAAGGACUAAAGAUGUGUUCUUGAUCUAUGGAGGAAAUGAACUGAAAAUUCAGGGGUAUACUGAUGCUAGUUUUCAAACUGAUAAAGAUGAUAGCAAGUCUCAGUCAGGAUAUAUGUUUACUCUCAACAAUGGAGCGGUUAGUUGGAAAAGUUCCAAACAGGAAACAACCGCUGAUUCAACAACAGAAGCCGAGUACAUAGCUGCUUCUGAAGCAGCAAAGGAAGCUGUAUGGAUCAAGAAGUUCAUUAAUGAACUUGGAGUCGUUCCUAGCAUUGUUGAUCCCAUACCUUUGUAUUGUGAUAACAAUGGAGCCAUCGCGCAAGCGAAGGAACCGAGGCCUCAUCAACGAUCCAAACAUGUGCUAAGGCGAUAUCAUCUCAUCAGGGAGAUUAUACAAAGGAAUGAUGUAAAGAUAGAGCGAGUUCCCAUAGAUGAUAAUAUUGCAGAUCCGCUGACAAAGCCGUUGUCACAACAGAAACAUGAUCGUCAUGUGGAUGCUUAUGGUAUUAGAUACGUGAGUGAUUGGAUCUAGUGCAAGUGGGAGUUUGUAAGUGUUAUGCCCUAGAUCCAAUCGAUUUAGGUUGUAAACGCUUUUAAUAUAUUUAAUGCAUUUGAUUUUGGCGAGAUCUAUUAUUUAUUUAAAUUAAUUUUGUAAUAAAUAAUAUUAAAUAAUAGAAUCCGAAGAUCCAAUUUUUAGGUAAUCUGUUAAUCACAAGGAUUUGUGAUUGUGAGAUACAAAUUACAUAUAAUUGGAUCUUGAAUAAACCAUGGUCGUAAGUAAUAACGAGAUACGGAUAUCGUUAAUACAGUUAGACCAUCACGUGUGACAUUUCUUACUUGUGAAGUAAGUAGCUGAUCUCACGAGUUAAAGUGUGGUGACACUUAAAUGAAGACGUGGAUGUUUUGUUAUAGAACAAAACAUUGGAGACCCGCUAAGAGAUUCCAAAUGGAUAACUAUCUGAGUGUCAGUGGCUAAUCUCUAACGUUCGGUAGUGGAAUUGGUCCUUUGACUUAAGGUCGUCCUGAUACCUUAUAUGAGGACAGUCAUACUUUGGCGGUGUUGGAUGUUACUCUGAAAGGGGCCGCUAAUACGACAUCGUUCGGGUACGUCAAGAAUCGUAUGAAGGUUGUGAUUGAUUAAUAAAGGAUUCGUCACUCUUAGAUAGUAGGAAAUUAUGAUCUGCGUUUCAUUCAAUUAAGUCGAUGAUGAAAUCCUUGGCCAAGGUGUACUCAUAAGUCGAAAAGGAGUUUUCGAUUUAUAUUGACUUAAUAGUGGAGUGAAAGAUAUGAUCAAUGAUCGAGAUUGACACAAUUCCAUAUCUCGUAAUUGAUCGGAUCGUAUUGACGAAGGGAUAAUAGUUCCACGGUAAACGAACGAAUUUGAUUUUGUCAUACUACGUGAUAUUUCCCGUCACAUGUAUUGCCCUGACACAUUGCUAGAUGUCAAUCAGGGACGGCGAAUGUGAAUUGACGAUAAAUUAAAAGGGUGUAUUAAUUUAUCAAUUUUGAUUAGAUCAAAAUAAUAUUUCACGACGUCAUACAUCGUGGUCGGGAACCUAAUGGGUCGCACACAAAAGAGAAUUUGAAGACUGCAAAUUGUCAAUUGAUUAAUUUAACAAUCGUUGAAUAAAUUGAUUAAUUGAAUUUGUUAUUUAUAAUCCCGAAUUAAUUAAUUAGAUUAAUUAAUUCACGGACCGGGUUUAAUUAAUUGGAUUAAUUAAAUAUUGGACCGGACCGGACCGGGUCCGUUUGGGUUUAUAUAUAUAUGCAGCUAUGGUUUGAGGUCCAAUAAUGUUUUCAUUAUUCUUGCUAGCACAAAAAAGAAACCCUAGCAGUUGCUGUCUACUCUCUGUGUGGAUUACAUUGGAGACUGGACAAUUGGACAGCUGUGGGAGGCAGAUUCAAGCUGCUGGAAAGGAAUAACGCGAAAGAGUUUGCAAAUCACAAGUAAAGGUAUAUUUCUUAUCACAGUUUAUAUCUAAAUACAAAGCUGAAUCCUGAAUGGAAAUUGAAACUUGCUAAAUUCCGCUGUGCAUGUUUAAGUAAAUUUCCAACAUAUAAAUACCCAAGAGCUGUAAGUUUGAGUUCCCGCUACUUUUAUAUAGAUAAUUUCAGUAUAGAGACAUUAACACCUGGAUGUUUUUCUUCUGGCUUUAACCAUAUAUUUUGCCUUCGUGUGGCGAAAUUUAGAAAUCAUUUAUAAAUGUUCUUCAUUUUCGACCACAAAUUUCAAUGGAUCCACACGUAAUAUCUACUCAUCCAUCACUCAUUUCUAGUUAUUUAUGAAAUUAAACCUUUUAUAAAUUCUUCCCUAACAAAGGCUCAGUUGUGACAUUUACUUUAUUAGCUGUUCAGCCUGUUCUUAUAUGAAGACCUCGGGAUUAGGAUUGCAAGGCUCUUAUUAUUUUCAGUUGCAUCUAAAUGCUAUGUUACUCCACGUAUUGCUUGCUUUCAUGAUUAUGAUUCAUUUGUUGUUAAAAACACGGUGCAAGAAUGAAAAUUUGUGUUCUGGAUUAGUUAAAAAGCAAUGGCAAAGCAUCAAGUUCUACUGAAUGUGAUAUAGCCUUUGUUAAUCUGGUUUAGCUUUUGGCUGGUCAUCCCUGGAAAGUUUUCUAGCUUGACUUGCUUGUUCUUUGUGCGGAAUUUUUUACAGGGUAUAGCCAAGAUAUUAGUCAGAGCUGCCAUUCACGAGGCAGCAAAGAAGAGGGAGGUGAGAUACAAGGACAUUAGAAAGAUCGAAAAGGAAGGUAGGCACCAUUUCCAUGAUGAUAUUACUGUGAUUGUGAUCUAUCUUGACCAUGAUCAUCGUAAAAGCCCUAAACACGAGCAAGGGUCUGUUGGCAUCACCAGCGCUCCUGUUGACAUCUUCUCGUAUAAUUCAGAUGAAAUCGAGGAAAAUCCAGUUGACAAGAUUUUCCCCAAUGAGGAGUCUCGACAUAUAUUGGCGGUAUCCUAAAUAGAAUGUGGAAACUUGAAAAUCGGUAAUCCUGUAUACAGGUUUCCGCGUAAAUAAAAUUAUAGUUGCUGUUUGAUGCUGCGAUGAAAAGGCAAGGUUUUUCAUGUAGGUUUUUACAGAAAAUAAACAAUUUUUUUGUUCUUUGCAUGUUAGUUUUUAUUGGAGUUGAGUUAGCAGAUUGCAUUUGUACUGAUAUGUAUUUUUUAAGUUAAGUUUUGCACUCGUUUAUGCUUAAGAUCAUAGACCAGCCAUAGCAUUUGCAGAGCAUGUUUCUUUCUUCUAUAUUUGCCUCAAGACACCAAUCUUGGCUACCAUUUUACAAGGACAACUGAUCAAUCUAAAUAUUUCAUUUUUAGUUUAUUCCUACUCUUUUUUCUCCAUUCCUUCACUUCUGUCUAUUCGGUCAUAUUUAUUUCCCGACUAUGAACUCAACAUAACAAAUACAGGUCAAUCUUCGAACAAACGUAUAUCAAAUGCUAUAAAACAUAUAUCUGGACCAACUUGUUUGGCUGGUUCCGAAGUAUUGACUAGAUGUGAACCGUUUCAAUAAAAUUUCAUCUUUGAAUGAAAAUCUAUUUUUAAAUAUAUUUGAUCUUUUUCAUAAUUUCACUCUCUUCUUGUGUAUGAAUCAAUCGUGGUCUCUCAAACUUUACCAGCGAUUUGGAAGAAUUCCUUGCUUGACGUAGAUGUUUCUAGUCGCACUUAAAAGCCAUGUAUUCUUCGAUUAAAGUUAUAAAGUUUGGAUUAAUAUGAUAUUUUUUGUUAAUUUUAGUACACGAUUGUAUUAUUUUAUUACAUAAAAAAUAAGUCUAGAGGGUUUGAAAUGAUUGUAUUUAUUUAUUGGAAAAAUUCACAACUAUGAUGUUAAGUAUCACCCAUUUUAAAAUUAAGAACAAAUGUUUUAAAUUUUAAAAAUCAGCUAUUUAUUAAAAUUUAUUUAUGAUCCAAUUAAUUAUUUGUAUAUUUUAUUAAUUAAAUAUAUAAAUGUCACAUAUUUAUACAAUUUGCUCAUAAAUAAACGAUUUAGUUAUUCAUAUAUUAUUUUUUGAUCACAAAUCAGAAUUUUUAUAAACUACAAAUUAUUUUGCGGUCACAAUUCAAGAAUUUUUAUAAGUCACAAUUUGUUCAUCGGUCAGAAUUAAUUUAUCAUUGACAAAUCACAAAAAUUAAAAGUCACAAAUUAUCGAUCAUAAAUUAACAAUUUUUAAGGUCACAUAUUAUUUUUUUAAUCACAAUUUAUUUUUUUUCAUUAGUCACAUAUUGUUUAUUGAUCACAGUUAACCAAAUAAUUUGUAACCACCAUUUCAUCAUUGCCUACAUCAGCAGCAGCAGCAGCACCGCCUACCAACAGCAACACCACCACUUCAAACAAAUCAACCCAUCAUAGAACAUACCAACACAUCAUCACGCUAAAUCCACAACCAUGCCACCAACACCAUCGCACAGAGUACCACACCAUGUAUUGCACACACCCAACGACCACACCUACACCAUCACAAACGUACCCACAGCACACCAUCUUUGCACUCACUAGAGCUCUUCAUUUCCACCACCACACCACAAACCUCCACCUGUACAUCCACCGCACCAUACAACCACCGCACAUAGCACCACAUCACUCGCCCAACCACUACACCCAUUGCACAAUAGUAGCUCAUCACUAUCACACCCACUAGAGAUCUCCAUUCCCACCACCGCAUCGCACACCUCUACCACUGAACCAUCAAUCAUCACACCACUCACAAUUUUUUUUUAAAAAAAAAAAAGGAAGAAAGAAAGAAAGCAAAAAGAUCUGCUGGAAUGAGUAGUUGUCGGAUUGGGUGAAAUAAAGCAGUGUGAGAUUUGUAGCGUCACCUAGCGAUAUGCAGCGAUGAAGGCAGAGAUUGCUGUUGCGACAGCUGAUCUGAAAAUUUUAUGGGGUGUGGUAAGGUGGUUGAGCAUGAUGUUGGUGAGGUGGUGCCAACGGUGUGGUGGCGCUAACGAGAGUGGUGGCGGCGUCGAUGGCCAGCUUGUGAGAUGAGAGAAGUUGGGAUGGAGAAAGAAGAGAGAAUGGAGAGGAUGAACAUGAUUAUGGUUUUGGUAUGUGUGGUUGUGUAGGAUGAAUAUGCUUUUACUACUUGUACAUAAAAAAUGUACAUAAUGAAUUACAUAAUAUGACGUGAAGGGAAAAGGUUUGAUGAAAAAGUCGAUUAUAUUUUAAAUUGGCAAAUGGCAGAAUGCCACGUGAUAUUAUGUAAUCUAUUAUGUAAAUUUUAAUGUACAUGUAGCAAGAUUCAUGUUGAAUAUGUAUAUUUAAUUUUGUAAUAUAAUUAUUAAUAAAUAAAAUAUAUUAAUUAAUUAACAAAACAUCUAAUAUUUGAAAUAGUAAACCUAACCUAUGAUAUAUAAAUUGGAUCUCCAAAAUGUAUUAGUUCCUAUAGUUUUUUUUUCGCCACUUUAUUCAUAGAGUUGGAAGAAUUAUACUGUAAAGAAAUGAAUCAAUAAAUACUUAUAAUUAAAAUUUUUACUUACUCGAAAGAGCCCUCACUGUUUUGAUUUUCAUCGUUUUUUCCGCGAUAAAAUUCUAGCAAACUCGCCGGUGAUUUGUUUUGGUUUCUAUUAUGAGCAAAUGCAUUUCGGUAGCGGAAUCAGUAUGGAAGGAUAUCGAGUCUACUAAUUCAGGUCCAUUAGUUUUAAUUAAUUUCCAAUUGCUCCUUUCGAAUUUCAUAUCCGCUUUCAUUUUCAAUUUUCAUUUUUUCACCAUGUUUCUGUUUGUAUUAUCUGACUUUAACACAAUCCCGCGGUUUUGAUGGAAAUUACGAAAUGGACUCCCCCAGUGACCGAUGAUCAGCUUUCAGUGUUAGUAUCUCCAACUUUUUUGGUUUGUUUUUUCCUCAAAAUUUAGAAAUAUUCUAUUUCUUUCCAGUUAAGUGUGUAUAUGUAAGUAAACGGGUGACAAAUUAUUGUUGAUUUAUGUUACAGAUUGCAUUUUCUUUUUGGGAAGAAUCUGGAGAGAGCAACGCGGAUAAUUGAUCAAAGGGGUGUAAAGAGGAUUUCCGGCGAGCCCAGUGGCCGUUCUAUUUUCCAGGUAAACUAUUUUUCUUCUUCUUUUUAUCUUUUUCUUUCCCUCUUUAUUCAAUCAUUUCUAGGGCUUGUCGUUUGUCAAAGUUUGGACACUUGUUUCUGAAUUCAUUUGAGAUGAUUUUUCGAGACAUUAUUUUAAUUUGGAGCUGGAAUUGACUAAGUGAAUUAUUUUCUGUCAAUUAGGGUUUGUUUUAUGAUUUUACAAAAUUUACUUUCCCUAUCAGCACAGAGCAACCAUCCCCUUCACUCAGUGUUGAGACUGAGUGUGAAAAAUAGAGAUAGAGUUAAAGUGAUGAUUAAAGUAAUUGUCAGUAAUGCUGGAUCAUAUUUCUACUUCUUUCUUUAAAUGCAAAAAUGUUGAUAUUCCAGGUUGUGGGAGAAUCCCGGAGGAAGGAGGAAUAUUUAUGCUUCCCUGAACACUAUUGUUCAUGUUAUUCAUUCUUCUAUGACAUUGUGAACAGAGGGGAACAACUUUGUGUAAUAUUUUCUUGCUGCUUCCAUUAUUUCCCAUAAUUUUAGUUAAUUCUUUCGAUGCUUAUUAUGUAGCUCAUAUGUUUAUGUGUGACCUUUCAGUGUAAGCAUCAACUAGCUGCAAGACUGUCGGCCUCAACUGGAGUAUGCAUUGAUGUGAAGGUUUCUGAUGAGGAACUAGCAUUCUUACUUUCCAAGCUUUGACAACUUUGAAGGACGAGAUUUUGCCUGUAGCAAUUGAGGUUAGAAAAAAUUUGAUGAGACUUUAAUUAGUUACUGUAUGUCAUGACUCUUUAACUAGUUACUGUAUGUUAUGACUCCAAGAAUUACUACUACUUAACAUUCGAGUUUCAUUUUUCAGUCAAAUUGAUUGAUUUUUGGAUGCUUGUCUGUUCAUAUUCUAAAUUCGGUUGUGCUACAUCUACACAAUAAGUUUACACAUACAUGAUAUAGUGAAAUAUGAUUGGAUCGGAAUUUUUUUAACUGAAAAAAAAAAAACCCUCAACUGUAUGUAAACCAUUAUGUAACUGCUUAUGUACAAAUAACAUUAUUCUUUUAAAUUUUACAACAGCAUUAAAGUAGAACUUACUCUUAAAUUCUGGCUUGUUAUGUAUAGUGUCCAAGUGGUUAUAAAUCCACAAGCUAAGACUUAAACGUACCAAUGCAAACAGGACUCUAAUAGUGUCAUUAGAAUACCCCUCUCCUCCUAAAAAAAAUGUCCACAGUAGUCCAUACUUCCACUAGGUGACUUCGUGGAAUCAAUGUUCUACUCAAGUAGUCAUCUCCACUGCUCAUCCCAUCUGCAACGAGAGUCUUCUCCAGAAAGGUGGUCUAUUUCAAUAAAAAUUGUUACCAACACAUUGCAAACAACUCACUUUUAAAUCUGGCCUGUGAGAUGAGUGUUCCACUGUGAUUAUAGUCCACAAGUUAUAACUUAACUUCAUGGUGUGGAAUGCAAUUAGACUCCUUACACCUGUUUAAAUAUGUAGGUAUAGGUUUGUGGUGUUAAUCUCAACUGUAGAUCUGGACUAUGGAUAAAUGUUUUAGAUAUAAGAAGUUUUAUUCUACUGCAAAUUUUGGUUGACCAUUGGUAUAGUAGUUCUGAUGGUAUUUUUGUCCUUGAUCUUCGGACUAACAGCCCAAUUGGCAAGAUAGUUUUGUAGGUAGACUCCUGGUCUAUUUUAUGGUUGCAGGAGUCGGAAAUGGCCUUCCGUCUAGAGAGCGUUAAUUCCUGCCUAAUUUCAACGACCUAGAUGAAGUAAUCAUCAUUCCUGCGUUAGCAAAUGGAAUUGUUAUGACAAAAUCAGAAAGCACAUUGAACCUGUCUGGUUCAGAACAAGAAGUUCUGACCUGCAACUUUGUUGCAUCUUUCCUCUUACCAAUCCCUUUUCUAACAUAUUCUGCCGAGAUUUUUUAAUUUGAAUCUGUGAUCGUGAAGUCGUGAACCUCUUUGAAACUAUGCAAACAUGCUUGAAUCACGUAAAUAGUUCUUCCCACUUUGAUUCCUGUACUAAAUAUUAUUCAAGCAAGAUCAAACAACACUCACGGUACCAGUAUAAAAUUGACGAGCCUAAAUCAGGAACCAUAUUUUACAUGUUCCAUUAUACAAAAACUUUCAUCCAUCACAAUUCCGUUUUUAUUCUUAACAAAUUUCGUAGUUAAUAACUACAUUGUAACCCAAAUUGAGUAAUGAUCCAAGAAAAAAAUGUUUCCUUUUCGGAAUUAUUCUUCUCUUUGCCCCAACAUUCUUUAAAUCAAAACAGAAGACAUUAAACACACUACAACACACCAAGAAAACACAAGUAUCAAACUGAGGAAGCAAACAAAUACAACAAGAACACAUAGACGAGGAUCAAGUUAAGGGACGAUCUUGUAAGCUUUCAACUUGUCAAUCCAUGAAAUGAACGAAUUCUUAGAAUUCCUGAAUCCCAGAAAACCAUGCUCCUUGCUUUUGUUCAUGGUAUCCAAUAAACAUUUCAAGCUAAGCAUAGUAUCAGCAAGCCACCAAACCCCGACAUCCUCCAAUUUAGUAGGUGUUAAUCCAUUCUCCCGCACAAUUUCAUCC
rnacentral:lncRNA from 1 species